rnacentral:rRNA from 1 species
GACGAACGCUGGCGGCGUGCUUAACACAUGCAAGUCGAACGGAAAGGCCUGCUUUCCCUUGUGGAUUGCGGGUACUCGAGUGGCGAACGGGUGAGUAACACGUGAGUGAUCUGCCCCCAACUUGGGUAUAAGCCUGGGAAACUGGGUCUAAUUCCCGAUAGGACUGCAGGGUGGUGCCUGUGGUGGAAAACGAUUUUCUAGUGGUUGGGGAUGAGCUCGCGGCCUAUCAGCUUGUUGGUGGGGUAAUGGCCUACCAAGGCGGCGACGGGUAGCCGGCCUGAGAGGGUGGACGGCCACAUUGGGACUGGGAUACGGCCCAGACUCCUACGGGAGGCAGCAGUGGGGAAUAUUGCACAAUGGGCGGAAGCCUGAUGCAGCGACGCCGGGUGGGGGAUGACGGCCUUCGGGUUGUAACCUCCUUUCGACCGCGAGGAAGCCACCUGGUGGGAAGGGUGGUGACGGUAGUGGUAGAAGAAGCACCGGCUAACUACGU